UAUUCUGGCUGAAAAACCAAGGAAGCCUGAAGCGCUUCUUGAUCCUCAGGAAUCAAGAAGGGAAAAUCUUCUCAGACAUUUGAUAAUUGGAGGAAGCAGUUCCAGAAGUCCUAGUCAUCUGUCUGAGACUUUGAAUGAACUGUUGCCUGAGGAAAUGUUAUCUAAUGAAGCGCAUUGGGAGUAUCAGGAAGAAACCACGUCUGCUCUCCUAUUGUCUGAUUUUUCCUCAACCACUGAUAACUCUUUGCUUCAGGGGGAUGUCUUUGAAACUGAGGUGCAAAUACUCUUGGCACAGUUGAUCCUCAAUGAGCGCAUCAGGAACCUAAUUUCCCACUUGAUCCAUUUAAUCAAAGUGGAUUGCAGAGAACUAACUACCCAGAACUCUUGUGGUUUUCUCAUCUCUAAAAUAGGUCUUGUCAUGAAACUGUACAAUAAGAGAAAAAGCAUCCAGGAGGCAUCUGCUAUGGUGAAAUCCUCCUUGUUGCUGGGUAAAAAUGUAAAGAAUAUUGUUAUGUAUUAAUAUUGACCGUUAUUGUGUUUGGAUUUAAAUGUGUCUCCAACUGUCUUGGAGGGAAACUGAAGUUUAUAUUCUGAGCUUUGAAUUUGAUUUGCGCCCCCUAGUGGCGGCAUGUAGAAAUAUUUGUCAGUCUGUCGGAUAUAAUGAUAUCGUUUUAAGAAAACUAGAUUGGCAGAACUGUUGCUUUUAAAGAGUAAGGGGUCCAGUAACAAAAAGAUAAACUUCCCCAAACUCUCAAUAUACUGCUUUAAUGAAGAGCUAGCAUCUCCUUGAAGACCGUAACUCAGGGAGACCACAUUACUGCAGUCAGGAUUUCAUAGGAUAUAUUCAACCACAAACAGCCACAGCAGAUGUGGCAAUGAUAUAGCAACAUCACAAAAAAAGAUUGGUUUCUCAUUGCUCUUCAAAAGGAACAGAAGGAAUCCCUCAGGAAAAGCGGACAUUCCUGUGUAGAAAAAAGAAAAAUGCACCCCCAAAAAGAAAUUCAGAAGAGAAAGAGGGGGAGGUAGACGAAGAAGACUGAAACUACCUAUCUAGAGCACUGUUUAUUAUUAAAUAUUAUAUUAUUAAACACAUUA